rnacentral:lncRNA from 1 species
AUGUCAUCCCUGAGGUCUUUGUUCAGUGCCAACUGGUUCAGUAUGAUUGUAAAUCAAUAUAAUCUGGGACAAACCGUCCUUGGUUGUCUUUUUUUAGAAUGCAUAAACAUACUGUACAAAACAUUGAGGAGACCUUCCCUGAUAAUGAGUUGCACCCCCCCCCCCCCCCAUUCAUCAGGACAUGGACUCUACAAGGUGUCAGAACAGCCUCUAUUCAUCAGGACGUGGACUCUACAAGGUGUCAGAACAGCCUCAAUUCAUCAGGACGUGGAUUCUACAAGGUGUCAGAACAGCCUCAAUUCGUCAGGACAUGGACUCUACAAGGUGUCAGAACAGCCUCAAUUCAACAGGACAUGGACUCAACAAGGUGUCAGAACAGCCUCAAUUCAUCAGGACGUGGAUUCUACAAGGUGUCAGAACAGCCUCAAUUCAUCAGGACGUGGAUUCUACAAGGUGUCAGAACAGCCUCAAUUCAUCAGGACGUGGAUUCUACAAGGUGUCAGAACAGCCUCAAUUCAUCAGGACGUGGAUUCUACAAGGUGUCAGAACAGCCUCAAUUCGUCAGGACAUGGACUCUACAAGGUGUCAGAACAGCCUCAAUUCAUCAGGACAUGGACUCUACAAGGUGUCAGAACAGCCUCUAUUCAUCAGGACGUGGACUCUACAAGGUGUCAGAACAGCCUCUAUUCAUCAGGACGUGGACUCUACAAGGUGUCAGAACAGCCUCUAUUCAUCAGGACGUGGACUCUACAAGGUGUCAGAACAGCCUCAAUUCAUCAGGACGUGGAUUCUACAAGGUGUCAGAACAGCCUCAAUUCGUCAGGACAUGGACUCUACAAGGUGUCAGAACAGCCUCAAUUCAACAGGACAUGGACUCAACAAGGUGUCAGAACAGCCUCAAUUCAUCAGGACGUGGAUUCUACAAGGUGUCAGAACAGCCUCAAUUCAUCAGGACGUGGAUUCUACAAGGUGUCAGAACAGCCUCAAUUCAUCAGGACGUGGAUUCUACAAGGUGUCAGAACAGCCUCAAUUCAUCAGGACGUGGAUUCUACAAGGUGUCAGAACAGCCUCAAUUCGUCAGGACAUGGACUCUACAAGGUGUUGAAAGCGUUCCACAGGGAUGCUGGCCCAUGUUGA